CAGUAGCCACGGUAAUACGAAGGGGGCUAGCGUUGUUCGGAUUUACUGGGCGUAAAGCGCACGUAGGCGGACUUUUAAGUCAGGGGUGAAAUCCCGGGGCUCAACCCCGGAACUGCCUUUGAUACUGGAAGUCUUGAGUAUGGUAGAGGUGAGUGGAAUUCCGAGUGUAGAGGUGAAAUUCGUAGAUAUUCGGAGGAACACCAGUGGCGAAGGCGGCUCACUGGACCAUUACUGACGCUGAGGUGCGAAAGCGUGGGGAGCAAACAGGAUUAGAGACCCCGUAGUCCCUGUCUCUUAUACA
rnacentral:rRNA from 1 species